rnacentral:rRNA from 2 species
CAAGGUGAAACCUAAUUGGCCUGGAGAAGAGCUUGCGUCUGAUUAGCUAGUUGGUGGGGUAAGAGCCUACCAAGGCGACGAUCAGUAGCUGGUCUGAGAGGAUGAGCAGCCACACUGGGACUGAGACACGGCCCAGACUCCUACGGGAGGCAGCAGUGGGGAAUUUUCCGCAAUGGGCGAAAGCCUGACGGAGCAACGCCGCGUGAGGGAGGAAGGUCUUUGGAUUGUAAACCUCUUUUCUCAAGGAAGAAGUUCUGACGGUACUUGAGGAAUCAGCCUCGGCUAACUCCGUGCCAGCAGCCGCGGUAAUACGGGGGAGGCAAGCGUUAUCCGGAAUUAUUGGGCGUAAAGCGUCCGCAGGUGGUCAGCCAAGUCUGCU